rnacentral:rRNA from 1 species
GACCACUCUGCAGUCGAGAUUCCUACGGGAGGCAGCAGUGGGGAAUCUUGCGCAAUGGGCGAAAGCCUGACGCAGCAACGCCGCGUGCGGGAUGAAGGCCUUCGGGCUGUAAACCGCUUUCAGCAGGAACGAAAAUGACGGUACCUGCAGAAGAAGGAGCGGCCAACUACGUGCCAGCAGCCGCGGUGACACGUAGGCUCCGAGCGUUGUCCGGAUUUAUUGGGCGUAAAGAGCUCGUAGGCGGUUGAGUAAGUCGGGUGUGAAAACUCUGGGCUUAACCCGGAGACGCCAUCCGAUACUGCUCUGACUAGAGUUCAGGAGGGGAGUGGGGAAUUCCUAGUGUAGCGGUGAAAUGCGCAGAUAUUAGGAGGAACACCGGUGGCGAAGGCGCCACUCUGGACUGAAACUGACGCUGAGGAGCGAAAGCAUGGGUAGCAAACAGGAUUAGAUACCCUGGUAGUCCAUGCCGUAAACGGUGGGCACUAGGUGUGGGUUCCAACUAACGGGAUCCGCGCCGUCGCUAACGCAUUAAGUGCCCCGCCUGGGGAGUACGGUCGCAAGACUAAAACUCAAAGGAAUUGACGG